UUUUCCUAGGGGGAGUGGUAGAUUAUUGUUUUUUUGCCUAACAAAUAUAUUCAUUUCAUUCAGGAGACCAGUAGAGAUAAAUGGUAUUUUGGGCUAUGAAACUGCCCCAGUAUAGCUUCAGAGGAGACCCUUCUUUCUGCUUGGGAGGCAAGGAUUAUUCCCUCCACCCCCUUUCCCUUCCCUUCUGCUCUUCUCUUUCAAAAAGCCUCACCUGUGAGACUGCAGAAAUUUACAACCCAAAGGGACCCAUGUUUCAAGGUUAAUGCAGUCAAUCCUGAUAUUCUUCUUGAAAAAUUAUCCAUUUCUAUACAUGAGAACAGUUGGUACUGGGCAGACGUCAAACAUUCUUGUGGACAUAAAGCCUGCUUAUUUUUUUAUUUCUUCUCUUUCUUCCACAUGAGGAUGGGAUUCUUUCUUGAGGUCAUUUAUCACGGUUGGUUCAGAAAUACAAUAAGGAAUACAAAAUAUAUAAGGAUACUGCAGGAAAUAAAUGUUUGUUUUCCUUUUUACCUAAGACACACAGAAACCACUCAAAGACAGAGGUCUGAAACUGCUGAGAAGCACAUGCAAGGGGCAGAGAAAGAAGAGCCCACAGUCUUGCAGAUCCCAGUCUCUUGAUUGGAAAUUCAUAAAGCCAUACUUACCAGGUUUUAUUAUGCCUCAAACCACCUGUGAAUCAAAAGUGUGGAUUCUGCUUUAGAAGUUCUGGGGUGUCUGUCUUUCUACAAAGGUUCCAGAUGAUGUCAAUGUUACUGGCCAUGUGAGCACAUGUUGAGCAGCCAGGCCUCAGAUACAGAAGGAGCAAAGCUCUGUGCUUACAUAGCCAUGGUAGCUUUGUUGCCCCAAGUAUGACCUGAAGACUAGCAGCAGCGUCCCACUGGGCAGUUUGGAACUGGAGGCCAAAGGAAAUACGUGCUUCUAUAUACACUUAACAAAUACCCUACCACAUUUCAAACCAUGUGGAAAUCUUAAUAAAAUUUCUACUACUGGGGUGCCUGGGUUGUGUAGUAGGUUCAUCGUCUCUUGGUUUUAGUUCAGGUUGUGAUCUCAGGGCUUUGAGCUCCACAGGGAGUCUGAGAUUUUCUCUCCCACUCCCUUUGCCCCUCCAGCUCAUGCUCUCUCUCUCUCUCUCUCACUCUAAAUAAAUCUUAAAAAAAAACUCUACUUUUAGAACAACCACAAUAAAGAUGAUAAAGGAUUAUGAUAUAUAAAACCUUGCCAUGUCCAACCUGUUCCCAAGCCACCAUUGUCCUUGGGAACCUGUGUGGUGGAGUUUGCAAGAAAGCAUGGGCUGGAAAUAACUGGUAAUGUUGCACAAUAGUGUGGAGCUAUAAAGAAAUAACAGUCUUUCUUUUGUUUAAGCUUUUUGGUAUAUUUUAAUUAGGACUAUUUUUAUAUUCAUUUUGGUCUUUAGAAAUCUUGUGUUGAAAAGAUUGUCUAUUUUGAUAAGCAAGUUUUGGGCAUCCUCUUAAAUGUGCUUGAGACAAGUCCUUAACUUCUCCACCCUAAUCCCAGCCCUGAUCAGAAGCAUAAGCAUCACCUGGGAGUUUUUAGAAAUGCAGGAUCUCAAGCCCCAUCCCAGACUGAUCAUGGAGCAAUUCAUGCACGUUAAAGUUUGAUAAGUGUCCUUAAGGGAUCAUGUUUUCAAACAGAAGUAGCUCAGUCUGUGUCUCACCUUAUCCUGGAAAGAGACUUUUGGUUUAAUGUUGAGUUAUCAGACCUGAGAUUCUAUGAGUUUCUAAAAUGAAGAUAGUCCUAAAUUUCCUCCAGAUUUACAAAGGUUGUAUGAAGUGUGUUUAUAUAGCAACUAGACUUUAGAGAUAGCCAUGAAGUCCUGUCUACUUUUUCUUCUUUAACUUAAAUAUGUGCAGAAAUAGAUUUCAACAUAGAAAGGUGGCUUUUGUAACUAGCAACUUAGUCCCAGAAGAAUCUUAAGGUAACAAGAAUAGA
rnacentral:lncRNA from 1 species